AGGCUUAACACAUGCAAGUCGAGCGGGGAAGGGUAGCUUGCUACCUGACCUAGCGGCGGACGGGUGAGUAAUGCUUAGGAAUCUGCCUAUUAGUGGGGGACAACAUUCCAAAAGGAAUGCUAAUACCGCAUACCCCCUACGGGGGAAAGCAGGGGAUCUUCGGACCUUGCGCUAAUAAAUGAGCCUAAGUCAAAUUAGCUAGUUGGUGGGGUAAAGGCCUACCAAGGCAACAAUCUGUAGCGGGUCUGAGAGGAUGAUCCGCCACACUGGGACUGAAACACGGCCCAAACUCCUACGGGAGGCAGCAGUGGGGAAUAUUGAACAAUGGGCGCAAGCCUGAUCCAGCCAUGCCGCGUGUGUGAAGAAGGCCUUUUGGUUGUAAAGCACUUUAAGCGAGGAGGAGGCUACUUGGAUUAAUACUCUAGGAUAGUGGACGUUACUCGCAAAAUAAGCACCGGCUAACUCUGUG
rnacentral:rRNA from 1 species